rnacentral:rRNA from 1 species
CCAGACUCCUACGGGAGGCAGCAGUGGGGAAUAUUGGGCAAUGGGCGCAAGCCUGACCCAGCAACGCCGCGUGAAGGAAGAAGGCUUUCGGGUUGUAAACUUCUUUUGUCAGGGACGAAGCAAGUGACGGUACCUGACGAAUAAGCCACGGCUAACUACGUGCCAGCAGCCGCGGUAAUACGUAGGUGGCAAGCGUUAUCCGGAUUUACUGGGUGUAAAGGGCGUGUAGGCGGGGAAGCAAGUCAGAUGUGAAAACCACGGGCUCAACCUGUGGCCUGCAUUUGAAACUGUUUUUCUUGAGUGCUGGAGAGGCAAUCGGAAUUCCGUGUGUAGCGGUGAAAUGCGUAGAUAUACGGAGGAACACCAGUGGCGAAGGCGGCCUGCUGGGCUCUAACUGACGCUGAGGCUCGAAAGCGUGGGUAGCAAACAGGAUUAGAUACCCUAGUACAG